AAUAGCAUAAUUAGAUGAAUGUUGUGUCGUUGAAGAAGAAUCUUUAGGAAAAAUCAUAUUCACCAAAUGAUGAGUUGCCCAUGCCAAAGACUAGUUCACAAGGUGAAAUGAUGACCGGAUUGAUACGCAAAGAAUAAGAACAAAUUGACAAAAACACAUACAAGGCAUAUAUAAGCUUCAGAAACACAUACACGUUCUUAUCCAUACAAGGCAGAAACACAUACAAGGCAGAAACACAUACAAGGCAGAUAUAAUCUACAGAAACACAUACAAGAUUGCAAGUUCGUCUACAAUUGCAUCGCAAGAAGGCCUACUUUAGCCGCAUUGGGAGCAGUUUCAUCCACGUUCCACCUAAAACUAAGAUAUGAUUUUACUAAUGAAGAAUAUGGAACUAUAGAAGCCGACCUUGAAGCACCCAAACAAUGCUUCUUAGCUGCACUAAAGAAUUCGAAGAUUGACAUGAAGUUGAAAUCCAAAAAUGUAGUGUCGAAAAAGAAAUGUUACAACCGUCAACAAACUGAUGACAAACAUUGAUGCUAGAUUGGAUGACGAGAUGAUUUCUAGAGAAGGUGACUCCGUCAAAAGGACAAAUAGGACCAAAGUCAAAUAGAUCCUUCGAAGAAGUAGAGAUAAGGGGCGAGUCAUGAAUUGAAACAAAGUAAACAUCUCAAAGUCAUAUCUAUAUGAGAGAUAUUAUCUUAGAUUAAACUUGUCUAAGGAAAUACUUCAUGCGUGGUUAGUUUUUUGAACAAUAGAUUGAAACUUUUUUGUAUCUCUUUCUCUAAGGCCUGCUUAUAUAUGAUCUGAAUAUUCCUUCAAUUCUAUUAUGAAUUUUGGUUGUUUCUCUUGAAACUAUUCAAUGAUAAACUGGACAAAACUCUUAUGCUUA